UGGUUUGAUCCUGGCUCAGGAUGAACGCUGGCGGCAUGCCUAAUACAUGCAAGUCGAACGGAGUGAAGCCUUCGGGUUUCAUUCAGUGGCGAACGGGUGAGUAAUACGCAGGGAACCUGGCCAUGGCAGGGGGAUACACUCUGGAAACGGAGCAUAAGACCCCAUAGGCAGUAAGGCGGCAUCGCCUUACUGUUAAAGAAAGCUGAAAGGCUUUGGCGAUGGAUGGACCUGCGGUGCAUUAGCUUGUUGGUGAGGCAACGGCUUACCAAGGCGAUGAUGCAUAGCCGGCCUGAGAGGGCGGACGGCCACACUGGGACUGAGACACGGCCCAGACUCCUGCGGGAGGCAGCAGUAGGGAAUUUUCGUCAAUGGGCGCAAGCCUGAACGAGCAAUGCCGCGUGAGUGAGGAAGGUCUUCGGACUGUAAAGCUCUGUUGCCGGGGAAAAAGGGGAAAUGCAGGAAAUGGCAUUUCAUGGAUGGUACCCGGCCAGAAAGCCACGGCUAACUACGUGCCAGCAGCCGCGGUAAUACGUAGGUGGCGAGCGUUAUCCGGAAUGAUUGGGCGUAAAGGGUGCGCAGGCGGUCUGUUAAGUCUGAAGGCAAAGGGAAGAGCUCAACUCUUCUUUGAUUCAGAAACUGGCAGACUUGAGGACAGGAGAGGGCGGUGGAACUCCAUGUGUAGCGGUAAAAUGCGCAGAGAUAUGGAAGAACACCAGUGGCGAAGGCGGCCGCCUGGCCUGUGACUGACGCUGAGGCACGAAAGCGUGGGGAGCAAAUAGGAUUAGAUACCCUAGUAGUCCACGCCGUAAACGAUGAGGAGCAGGUGUUGGGAGUGAAAUCUCAGUGCCGAAGCCAACGCAGUGACUCCUCCGCCUGGGGAGUAUGCACGCAAGUGUGAAACUCAAAGGAAUUGACGGGGGCCCGCACAAGCGGUGGAGUAUGUGGUUUAAUUCGAAGCAACGCGAAGAACCUUACCAGGUUUUGACAUCGGAUGCGAAGGCGCAGAGAUGCGCUGGAGGCUAUCAUCCAGACAGGUGGUGCAUGGUUGUCGUCAGCUCGUGUCGUGAGAUGUUCAGUUAAGUCUGGCAACGAGCGCAACCCCCGUGGUAUGUUACUAACGCAUUUGGGCGAGGACUCAUAUCAGACUGCCGGUGACAAACCGGAGGAAGGCGGGGAUGACGUCAAAUCAUCAUGCCCCUUAUGACCUGGGCUACACACGUACUACAAUGGCGUCUACAGAGGGAAGCGACCCUGAGAAGGGAAGCGAAACCGGAAAAGGGCGUCCCAGUUCGGAUUGAAGUCUGCAACCCGACUUCAUGAAGAUGGAAUCGCUAGUAAUCGCGGAUCAGCAUGCCGCGGUGAAUACGUUCCCGGGCCUUGUACACACCGCCCGUCAAACCAUGGAAGCCGGCAACGCCCGAAGCCGGUGGCAUAACCUUUUAGGAGUGAGCCGUCGAAGGCGGGGCCGAUGACUGGGGUUAAGUCGUAACAAGGUACCC
rnacentral:rRNA from 1 species